UCCCUGUGAUGACAGUGCUUAUAACUGAGG
rnacentral:piRNA from 1 species